AUACCUGGAAACCACGCAGAUGUCCCUCAGUAGGUAAAGCUCCAAUGAUAAACCAGAUCAGUGCAGGACCUGAGUCAGUCUACUGGGCUCCGCUCCCCCUGCCCCUGCGAUCUCGGAGGAACCUGGUGCUCUGCUGCUGCCCAAGACCAGAGAAGCUCCAUAUUCACCGGUCUCGGCCGUAGGGCGCUCCUGGAGCUCCGGGAUCUCGGCCUGAAACUCGCUUCCUAUCCUGAUGUGUCUGAAAUGAGGCCACACACAAGACAUACACAUGUGACUAAGAUGGGAAAUAAGACGGAGAUGUGUGACGUGCCCUGCUCUCAGGCCACAACCCUGCUCUCUGGAAACCUCUAUCAUCUCCCAGAUGCAUCUGGGGAGUAUUUGUAACCCCUGACAGACAUGGACAAGUGUUCUAGAUACCGUCCAGCUACACCCCCUUUGUCCAAUUUCCUUUUUCACCAGGCUUCUCCCUCAGGUGCCCCUCUAGGGGUCCAGGACAGGGGAGGUGUCUGCUGAUGCCUGGCAUGCUUCUACACCCAUGGCCACAUCCCUCUAGUCACAUUCCAUGGAUACUCAAGUCUCACACGUGCCAUCACCAAUUUUACCUAGAUCCCCAGGGGACUGGGCACUUGUCCCAGUGGGCCCAACUAUGGGAUGCUCAGAUAGAAGGAAUAUUGUAGGAACUUCCCACAUACACCCAGAGUAAUCUACCACUUCUCUCCCACAGAGUAGCUAACCCCCC